CGGAAAACCCUAACCCUAUAAUCACUUUCUCCGAUCUCAAUUAAGUCAAAUUUUUUUGAACUUCUUCAUGAAGAAUCCAUCUCUACGUUCCAAUUUCUCGGGAUUAAAUCCCCUUCGAUUCAAGUAAAAUGGGUCAGGUACUCAUGAUAAGCUGAACUCUUUAUAACAGAUGCACUCUUUUUGAAGCCCGGAAAGAUCAGAGUUGGAUUUGAUCAGCACAGGGCCUUGGAGCCUUCAGCGAGACAAAUGCAUUGAGAAGGGUCCCUUUGUAUAUGUCACUAAGCCAACAGUUAUAGGCUCUAUCGACACAAGUGAAUUCUUGGAUGGUUGGAUUUUGCUGUGGAUUGACAAGUUCUUUAGCAGAAAGGAUUUGGAUGAUUAGUACAUGUUCUUGCUAUUUAGGUACAGGAAGCACAAAUUGGUGGCUGUCAUUCAGGUCCUGGAGAAAGUGCGUCCCUCGGCUUUGUUGGAGAAACCAUCAAGAGACAACACUCAUGGGCUCUGAGGCAUCAGGAGGAGAAAGCGCAAAAACUGCAGCCUGAUACAGUUGCGUCGAGCCAGUGCCAAUGACAAUAUACCGGUCCUCAGUCACAGCAUUGCCA